GUCGGCAACUAGCUCUCUGCAAUUCUCACAUGGUCACACACUGAAGCUAAGCAGGGCUGCACCCGGUCAGUACCUGGAUAGGAGACCACAUGGGAAAGCUAGGUUGCUGCCGGAA
rnacentral:rRNA from 1 species